CAGCACAGUAACCAUCAGGUUAGGGUUCAUGAGCUACAAAUCUGAAUGGUAGAAUGCCUGAAACAACACUUCAACACCAAGAAGAAAAAGGAGACAAAUGGUCUCAGAGCUAUACAAGGCAGAAAAAUACACAAGAAAGAAUGAAAUGGAGGGUGGAAGAAUGGAAAGGAAGAGAAUUGUACUUGUAAUCCCAACAUCAGGAUGCAAUCACAGCUGCUCCACUUAAUAGUGUUGGGACCUUGGGCAAGUCCCCAGCUGAUCUGACUCUCUUAGUUUUUUGAGUGCUAUGAAUACUUGCAUUAUAUACUUCACUUUGGUUUCUUAUGAGGAUCUAAGGAAGUAAGGUAUGUAAAGAAAAUGCAAACGUGCAAAAAGCAUCAUCUCUGAUGUUAUCAGUCCCUCUCCAAAACCACCAUCAUAGAGACAUCUUCCCAGCAUCAAAAAUGAAGUUAUUUAGAGUUAGACAUGCUCAUCUCCCAAAAAUACUCUUGGAAAAAAGAGUUACCUGACAGCCAUGGGAAAGGUCCCAGGAAACCACAUCAGUCCUUUUCAACUUCAUUUGCCUUAACCAUUAAAAUCUAAUUACAUGAGCUUUUGGUUCCUGUUUGGAAA